GAUGAACGCUGGCGGCGUGCCUAAUACAUGCAAGUCGAGCGAACAGACGAGGAGCUUGCUCCUCUGACUUUAGCGGCGGACGGGUGAGUAACACGUGGAUAACCUACCUAUACGACUGGGAUAACUUCGGGAAACCGGAGCUAAUACCGGAUAAUAUAUUGAACCGCAUUGUUCAAUAGUUAAAGACGGUUUUGCUGUCACUUAUAGAUUGAUCCGCGCCCCAUUAGCUAGUUGGUAAGGUAACUGCUUACCAAGGCAACGAUUCUUAGCCGACCUAAGCGGGAGAUCGGACAGCCGGGAACUGAGACAGGGCCCAGACUCCUACGGGAGGAAGCAGUAGGGAAUCUUCCGCGAUGGGCGAAUGCCUGACGGAGCAACGCCGCGUGAGGGAUGAAGGUCUUCGGAUCGGAAAACUCUGUUAGUAGGGAAGAACAAAUGUGUAAGUAACUAUGCACGUCUUGACGGUACCUAAUCAGAAAGCCACGGCUAACUACGUG
rnacentral:rRNA from 1 species